GCAAACUUGGUCAUUUAGAGGAAGUAAAAGUCGUAACAAGGUUUCCGUAGGUGAACCUGCGGAAGGAUCAUUAUUGAAUACCACUUGAUGGGUUGUAGCUGGCCUCUUGGGGCAUGUGCACACCUGUUAUUGUUCUAUUCAUCCACCUGUGCACCACUUGUAGUCUUUGGGGGCUGAUAGCGGUUGACCAUCAGUCGAGAGACUGGAUGAGAGGAUUGCAUGCGCAUAAAAUUGUGCAGCUUUCUUCAGUAGGCCGUGAAUCUCCCUUGGAGUCUAUGUUUUUUAUCUAUAAACUGCAUAGUAUGUUGUAGAAUGUGUUCAAGGGCCUUGUGCCCAUAAAACUCUAUACAACUUUCAGCAACGGAUCUCUUGGCUCUCGCAUCGAUGAAGAACGCAGC
rnacentral:misc_RNA from 1 species